rnacentral:rRNA from 1 species
UCCUGGCGUCAGGAUGAACGCUAGCGGCAGGCUUAACACAUGCAAGUCGAGGGGCAUCGGGAGUAGCAAUACUGCCGGCGACCGGCGCAAGGUGCGUAACGCGUGAGCAACAUGCCCGUAUCAGGGGGAUAAUCCAUGGAAACGUGGUCUAAUACCCCAUAGUAAUUAUGUAAGGCAUCUUAUAUAAUUUAAAGCUUUGGUGGAUACGGAUUGGCUCGCGUGACAUUAGCUGGAUGGUAAGGUAACGGCUUACCAUGGCUACGAUGUCUAGGGGUUCUGAGAGGAAGGUCCCCCACACUGGAACUGAGACACGGUCCAGACUCCUACGGGAGGCAGCAGUGAGGAAUAUUGGACAAUGGAUGGAAAUCUGAUCCAGCCAUGCCGCGUGCCAGGAAGACGGCCCUAUGGGUUGUAAACUGCUUUUGUAUGGGAGCAAUAAGGGCUACGUGUAGUCCGAUGAGAGUACCAUACGAAUAAGCACCGGCUAACUCCGUGCCAGCCGCCGC